UGGUGGAGUGAUUUGUCUGGUUUAUUCCGAUAACGAACGAGACCACGGCGUACUAAAUAGUUGGUUCCAGCGUCUUAGUGGUGAAGGCUAGUGACGUCGCUAUUUCGGUAGUGGCUCACUGGAUGGAUCCUUGGUGCCUGGUACAAGAUACUUCUUAGACGGACUGGUCAUGAAUAAAGUGACCGGAAGCUCGUGGCAAUAACA
rnacentral:rRNA from 1 species